CAGCCUGGCUUCGGGAUACCCCAGGUUUCUCCGACCGACACCGAGCACCUCCGGGUCCCCAUUCCUCUCCCAUUCCCAGACACCGAUCCUGCUCCUUCCUUGUUUGUCUAUGGGCGAAUCUCUCCGGCGACGGCGACCUCUCUUCCCCUGCGCGUCCAUCUUCCGACGUUGCCACCCCGUCGUCCAUCGCUACAAGAUCGACGACCGCCCCUUCAUCCUCACCGGUCUCUGCAGAUCUACGCCGGCGGGCCGCCUUACCGACGGUUCUUCCUAGCCACGGUGGGUUCCUUUACUUCCCUUUCUCUACACCCCCUUAUUUUUUGUUCACAGCAUCACCCCCGAAUCCGGACAACCGCUGACCCCGUGGCUAGUAGGCACAAGUAAAAUUCCGUUGAACGUUCGAUUUUUCUGUUGUAUAUUUGAGAAGUUGGUAGUAUCUUUUCUCCUUCCGAACGCUAGGUGUUUCAUUACCUCCCUGGUUGUUGGGGGCAAUCAAUUGUAGGUUUCAUUUUUCAUGUUUUGGGAUCAUAUAUCAGUUUAGCAUAAACUUGUACAGCUAGUAUAUAUAGUACGUACAGUACUAGUUACAAUACUUUCCAUUGGCUUUCACUCAAGAAAGAUUGGAGUGGUUAACGGUAAAUGAAUGCGUUGGAGAUCAACAACAUGUACAUGAUGCAUUAUCAACAAAGAGUUGGGGUGUCAUGGUUCGGUUUGUGCUUUUGAGUAAACUAGAUGAUACCCCGCACGUUGUUGCGGGAAUAUUAUGCAACACAUUUCAGUGUGAUUCAUUGUAUGAAACAUGAAUAUUUGAAGCAAUAAUAUAAAAGGCUAAAACUAAAAAUACAUAUAAUUUAUUAUGUUUGAUUACUAUAUAAAUGUAAAAUGUAUAAAUAGCAUAAUAGAAUGAAAAUUCUCAUGUCCGUUUGCAUGUUGAGAUGUGUCUUUUUUCAUGCAUAUUUCACGAUCAAGUGGCAUGCUUGCAUGUUAAAAGACAUAUGGUAGUGGGGGUGGACCUUUUCUCAUGCAUGUUGUGUGAUGAUGUGGCAUGCUUGCAUGUUGAGAGAAAUAGUUAGUGGGGGCUAGCUAUUUAGACACCAUGGUGAAUGCUUAUCGUGGUAUUGUGUCAAAUCAGUUUGAUCAUAGCAACUACUCGUGGUAAUCGGUUGGAUCAUUUGUUUGUGACUCAGAAACAAAUAUAGUUUCCAUUACUGCCGGUAUUAUUUGAAAGCUUGUUAAUCAAAUUGAUCAUUUAUUUCUUCUAUCAUUCUUGUGUAGUUCACACACCCAACUCCAACAGACAUCACAUUUCCAAAUUAUUACUGAUC
rnacentral:lncRNA from 1 species